rnacentral:rRNA from 1 species
UACGUAGGGGCAAGCGUUAUCCGGAUUUACUGGGUGUAAAGGGAGCGCAGACGGCAGUGCAAGUCUGAUGUGAAAGCCCGGGGCUCAACCCCGGAACUGCAUUGGAAACUGUACAGCUUGAGUGUCGGAGAGGUAAGCGGAAUUCCUAGUGUAGCGGUGAAAUUCGUAGAUAUUAGGAGGAACACCGGUGGCGAAGGCGGCUUACUGGACGAUGACUGACGUUGAAGCUCGAAAGCGUGGGGAGCAAACAGGAUUAGAUACCCUGGUAGUCCCU